rnacentral:rRNA from 1 species
GACGAACGCUGGCGGCGUGCUUAACACAUGCAAGUCGAACGUGAUUUUUGUGGAAAUUCUUUCGGGAAUGGAAAUGAAAUGAAAGUGGCGAACGGGUGAGUAACACGUGAGCAACCUACCUUACGCAGGGGGAUAGCCGUUGGAAACGACGAUUAAUACCGCAUGAGACCACAGAAUCGCAUGAUAUAGGGGUCAAAGAUUUAUCGGUGUAAGAAGGGCUCGCGUCUGAUUAGCUAGUUGGAAGGGUAAAGGCCUACCAAGGCGACGAUCAGUAGCCGGUCUGAGAGGAUGAACGGCCACAUUGGAACUGAGACACGGUCCAAACUCCUACGGGAGGCAGCAGUGGGGAAUAUUGCACAAUGGGGGGAACCCUGAUGCAGCGACGCCGCGUGAGCGAAGAAGGUUUUCGAAUCGUAAAGCUCUGUCCUAUGAGAAGAUAAUGACGGUAUCAUAGGAGGAAGCCCCGGCUAAAUACGUGCCAGCAGCCGCGGUAAUACGUAUGGGGCGAGCGUUGUCCGGAAUUAUUGGGCGUAAAGGGUACGUAGGCGGCCUUUUAAGUCAGGUGUGAAAGCGUGAGGCUUAACCUCAUUAAGCACUUGAAACUGGAAGACUUGAGUGAAGGAGAGGAAAGUGGAAUUCCUAGUGUAGCGGUGAAAUGCGUAGAUAUUAGGAGGAAUACCGGUGGCGAAGGCGACUUUCUGGACUUUUACUGACGCUCAGGUACGAAAGCGUGGGGAGCAAACAGG